GCGGCCUAUCAGCUUGUUGGUGGGGUAAUGGCUUACCAAGGCGACGACGGGUAGCCGGCCUGAGAGGGUGACCGGCCACACUGGGACUGAGACACGGCCCAGACUCCUACGGGAGGCAGCAGUGGGGAAUAUUGCACAAUGGGCGAAAGCCUGAUGCAGCGACGCCGCGUGAGGGAUGAAUGCCUUCGGGUUGUAAACCUCUUUCAGUAGGGAAGAAGCCCUUCGGGGUGACGGUACUUGCAGAAGAAGCGCCGGCUAACUACGUGCCAGCAGCCGCGGUAAUACGUAGGGCGCAAGCGUUAUCCGGAAUUAUUGGGCGUAAAGAGCUCGUAGGCGGUUUGUCGCGUCUGCUGUGAAAGCCCGGGGCUUAAUCCCGGGUCUGCAGUGGGUACGGGCAGACUGGAGUGCAGUAGGGGAGACUGGAAUUCCUGGUGUAGCGGUGAAAUGCGCAGAUAUCAGGAGGAACACCGAUGGCGAAGGCAGGUCUCUGGGCUGUUACUGACGCUGAGGAGCGAAAGCAUGGGGAGCGAACAGGAUUAGAUACCCUGGUAGUCCAUGCCGUAAACGUUGGGCACUAGGUGUGGGGGACAUUCCACGUUUUCCGCGCCGUAGCUAACGCAUUAAGUGCCCCGCC
rnacentral:rRNA from 1 species